rnacentral:misc_RNA from 1 species
UAAAAAGAUGUUUCAGCAAGAGUUGCCAGCUCCCAUAUCUUUAUUGUUCCAUCAUCACUUGCGGAAGCAAGAAGCCGGUUCUCCCCUGGGCUCCAUUGCACUGAAUUUAUGUCCAUAUCAUGAGCUUUUUCUCUUUUCAACAGCAGUCUAUAUGAAGGACCAUUAACCAAACCAUCUUUGCUCUCCACAAAAAAUCGAAUAGCAUCAUCGGCCGCUCCACUGACUAUAAUGCCUUCCC